rnacentral:rRNA from 1 species
CACGUAGGAGGCUAGCGUUAUUCGGAUUUACUGGGCGUAAAGCGCGUGCAGGCGGUUCGGUAAGUUGGAUGUGAAAGCUCUCGGCUUAACUGGGAGAGGUCGUUCAAUACUGUCGGACUUGAGAGUGGUAGAGGGAGGUGGAAUUCCGGGUGUAGUGGUAAAAUGCGUAGAUAUCCGGAAGAACACCAGUGGCGAAAGCGGCCUCCUGGACCAUUUCUGACGCUCAGACGCGAAAGCUAGGGUAGCGAACGGG